rnacentral:rRNA from 1 species
UACGUAGGGUGCGAGCGUUGUCCGGAAUUAUUGGGCGUAAAGGGCUCGUAGGCGGUCUGUCGCGUCGGCUGUGAAAACUCGGGGCUCAACCCCGAGCCUGCAGUCGAUACGGGCAGACUAGAGUGCUGUAGGGGAGACUGGAAUUCCUGGUGUAGCGGUGAAAUGCGCAGAUAUCAGGAGGAACACCGGUGGCGAAGGCGGGUCUCUGGGCAGUAACUGACGCUGAGGAGCGAAAGCGUGGGGAGCGAACAGG